UACGUAGGGGGCUAGCGUUGUCCGGAAUCAUUGGGCGUAAAGAGCGUGUAGGCGGCCCGGUAAGUCCGCUGUGAAAGUCGGGGGCUCAACCCUCGAAUGCCGGUGGAAACUGUCGGGCUGCGAGUGCGGAAGAGGCGAGUGGAAUUCCUGGUGUAGCGGUGAAAUGCGCAGAUAUCAGGAGGAACACCGAUUGCGAAGGCAGCUCGCUGGGACGCGACUGACGCUGAGACGCGAAAGCGUGGGGAGCAAACAGG
rnacentral:rRNA from 1 species